rnacentral:rRNA from 1 species
UUCGCAAUGCCCGAAAGGGUGAACGAGCGACGCCGCGUGCGGGAUGAAGGGUUUCGGCUUGUAAACCGCUUUUCUUUGGGAAGAAGGUCUGUCUCGUGAAGAUGGGCUCGACGGUACCAGAGGAAUAAGCCCCGGCUAACUACGUGCCAGCAGCCGCGGUAAUACGGAGGGGGCAAGCGUUGUUCGGAUUUACUGGGCGUAAAGGGUGUGUAGGCGGCUGCGCAAGUCUGGUGUGAAAUCUUCACCGCUUAACGGGAAGAUGGCCCUGGAAACUGCGCAGCUCGAGUAUGGUAGAGGCAAGCGGAAUUCCUGGUGUAGCGGUGGAAUGUGUAGAUAUCAGGAAGAACACCGGUGGCGAAGGCGGCUUGCUGGACCAUCACUGACGCUGAGACACGAGAGCGUGGGAAGCAAACGGGAUUAGAUACCCCGGUAGUCCACGCGGUAAACGGUGGGCACUAAGUAGAGGGGUUUU